rnacentral:rRNA from 1 species
CUACGGGUUGCAGCAGUGGGGAAUAUUGGACAAUGGGGGAAACCCUGAUCCAGCAAUGCCGCGUGUGUGAAGAAGGCCUGCGGGUUGUAAAGCACUUUCGGUUGGGAGGACUGCUUCUAGCACUAAUAUUGUUGGAAGUUGACGUUACCUUCAGAAGAAGCACCGGCUAACUCCGUGCCAGCAGCCGCGGUAAUACGGAGGGUGCAAGCGUUAAUCGGAAUUACUGGGCGUAAAGCGCGCGUAGGCGGCUAGAUCAGUCGGGUGUGAAAGCCCCGGGCUUAACCUGGGAACUGCAUCCGAUACUGUCUAGCUUGAGUACGGGAGAGGAGAGUGGAAUGCCACAUGUAGCGGUGAAAUGCGUAGAUAUGUGGAGGAACACCAAUGGCGAAGGCAGCUCUCUGGCCUGAUACUGACGCUGAGGUGCGAAAGCGUGGGGAGCAAGCAGGAUUAGAUACCCGGGUAGUC